CAUCUAGACAAGUAAAAAAACAACAAGUCUAAAUUUUGCUCGCGUAUCGUGAAAAUCCGCACUAGUCGCAUGUCAAAUUGGCGCGAAAUUAUGAGUGUAGCAAAAUCAACCGUCACCAGCCCAGCGUAAUAAAAAGGAAUCGGAGUGUGUUUGACGACAAAAAAAGUCAAAAAAUGGGACCCAACUCCAAGCUCAUCCAAGCUGUCACAAGCAAGCUGGAAGUGUCGUAUACAACCGUUUCGACUAUCGACUUAUCAGCAAGUAACUCGAGGUUUCUAACCGUGACGAUUAGUAACAUAACUGGAAGAAACAAGGUCGAAGUUCACAAAGAAAUAUCUUGUUUGGCAGGCCGCCUAUUACUAUGGCUUCAAGAACGCCAUUUACAUCGUAACUGGGAUCAUUAAACAAGAAAAUUUUGCCUGAAUCUGUUGUCUUUUCGCAAGCAACACAAUUGUUCCGUUCUGUUUUAGCGACUGAAACGGCUAAAAACUGCUUUUUUUAAUCCGUGGUAGCAAAUAAAGUCUGUCCCAGAAAGUAUGGACGCAACCAAAAACCGCUGUCAUUUCGCAAUGGUUCAGAAUCUGUCAAUUUUUAUGGCUGCGUCCUGUUGUUUACAUUCUUCUCUAACCACUUGUGCAGUUGUUUAUUCGUUUUCAUUAGUUUGUUUCGAAAUGCGUGGACUUUCAGCAGAACAACGUUGAAAAAUUGUGUACAAAUGGUGCACAGAACGCGGACUGUCACUGAGAAAGAUAGCAAAAAUGGAAGGAGUAAGUGCAAAAGCCGUGCGAAAUGCAAUCAGGAAGUUCGGUGAGGAUAACACCUUUGAGGAUAAACCGAAAACGGGUAGAAAAAAAGGUCCUGCUAACCCUCAGUUGGAUAAACGUAUACUGAAGGCGUUCGAGCAAAAGAAGGAGGUUUCAGUCCGGGAUGUGGCAAAAAAGUGGUCACUUCGAAGUCAAAUGUUCCUCGUGCUAAAGAACGUUUGAAUCUUCGAACCUAUAAGAAGCAGAAACAACCAAAACGUACACCCUUAUUCCUGAUUACGACAUUUCGAAUUGAUUCGAUCGAAUCGAUCAAAUUCUAUUAUUGAUUUCGAUCGAAGAAAUCCGUUAUUCGAACAUCGCUCGUUUAAAAUUUCAACUCUAAUCUCAGUAACGUUUGACUCCAAAUAAAUCGCUUUCCGUAUCCAAGAUACGAGAUUUUCACGUGGCGGAAUCAACAUUAAAGGUAAAAUUUACAUCGAAACAACAAUUCGCGCAAAUGAUAGCGUUAUUGGAAACAAGACCGGAUGUUACAAAAGGAUUUUCGAAGGUGAACGUUGCGCCUUUCUGGAAUCCCUUGGCAACGGAAUUAAACAGUUUGGGACAGCCUGUCAGAGACACAACAGGGUGGAAAAAAGCAAGUUUUUAAAUUUCAAUUAUUUCAUUUAAUUAUAAUUCCUCACUUUUCUACAUUUUAGGUGUGGUGUGAUUACAAGUCGAACCUGAAGAGAAAACUGGCCCACAAUUCGAAAGAGCUGCGUGCCACGGGAGGCGCACCUAACAAAGUGAUAGAGAUUUCUGAAUUGGAGGAGCAAACUGUUGCUCUGACUGGUCUCAGAAACACAAUACAAGACAACGGAUAAUUCUAAUGACAAUGCGGAUGAGGAGACCACUUGUUCUAAACCAAAACGGUUGAAAAUAUCGACCCUGGAUUUGCUGGAACAGCAAGCUGCUGAACAAAAAAAAAUACCACGAAACGCUGGUAGACGCUCUUAACAAAAUUCAUAUCAAAAUGGAAGAUUAUGGAUAUAAUAUGAGAAGAAUCUACAAAACAUUGGAUAGCAUGGCUGAAACACAAAAAUUAAAACUCGAAGAGCAGCGACGCCACAAUAAAGCACUAGAAACAGCAUACAAAGAAAUAUUACAGCUAAAACGAGAAAUACUGGAAAUGCAAAUAAAUUAUAUAGA